rnacentral:rRNA from 1 species
UACGGAGGGUGCAAGCGUUAUCCGGAUUCACUGGGUUUAAAGGGUGCGUAGGUGGGCAAGUAAGUCAGUGGUGAAAUCUCCGGGCUUAACCCGGAAACUGCCAUUGAUACUAUUUGUCUUGAAUACUGUGGAGGUCAGCGGAAUGUGUCAUGUAGCGGUGAAAUGCUUAGAUAUGACAUAGAACACCAAUUGCGAAGGCAGCUGGCUACACAAAUAUUGACACUGAGGCACGAAAGCGUGGGGAUCAAACAGG